GCUUUGUGACAGUUCGAUUUAAGUGGUGACUGGUGACAGAGCAUAUUUGCAUAUUUCAAUAUUAUGGUAAUUAUUGUUCGACCGAGCGUAUGCUCUAAUCUGUUUAUGAAAAAAGGCCAUAAUUGUGUCCGACGCAAUUUAUUUUUGGUGACAUCUAAGUGGAAUGAUAAAUUUGAAAAAUAUAUUGGUCAAUAUGUUUGUAAAAUGUGUCGCAAAGAAUUAUAUCAGGGUGCGAAAACUACUGUGAACGCACUAGAUGAACAUUGUCAGAACUGUCUGCUGUUGCAAACAAGAUUUGAAUUUCGAUUGAAAAUUAUUUCGUUUCAGAGUGAAUGGAUGUUUGCUUGUAUAAUGUGCAUUUCGUUAGAUAUUUACAUACUUUCCAAAUUUUUUGUCUUUUAUUGCUGUUUUUAACCUCAAAGGACAAUUGAAUGAAUUUAUAACAAUAACUUAUGAAUAAAAACGCUUCAAUUUUUAAUGUGAAAGUUAAUAAAACAUUUAAAAUUGCUGACUCCGCUAGAGUAAAUCGCCACGUUUCUUUUUUCAAUCCUACUCAAAGUACAGAAAGUGAGACGUCGGAUAGCUCUAUAGAUCUUUUGACGAUUCGGAGGAUGAAAAUUUCGAAAUAAAGAACAUUGAUCAUUCUUUCAAAUUCGAUAAAGUGAACAAAAUUCUGCAAGAACUAGGCGAACCACCUAUUAAAAAAAAAGGUAUUCUGAUUUAUGCGAUAAGGAACUCAAAGAAAUUGUUGCAGGCGUCAUUAAUUCCGGAAAAGGAACAGAAAAUGCAGAAUUAAAAAAUCAGAAAAAAACAGAAAAUCCAUACUCAGCUUUUGUGAAAAAUAUUAAAGACGCUUUGCUUGAAAAGAACAGUAUCAACCAUAAAAUUCAAAUACUCACAACAAUUCCAGACAAUUGGACCGUGAAAAAAAUUUGCGAUACAUUUUCUGUUUCAAAAAGAAUGGCAUCGAAAUCUAAAAAAUUGAGAAGAAAAAAUGGCUUUGCAUCUGUGCCAGCUAAAAAACGUGGAAAAAAAUUUCAGACUUGUCUGUCGAAAAAGUGCGUAAUUUCUACUUGUCUGAUUAUUCAAGUAGACUGUUACCUGGAAUAAAAGACUGCAAAACUGUUUUUAAUAACGGUAAAAAAACAAAAGAAAAAAAAAAUUGUUACUUUUUAAUCUGAAUGAUCUACACAAACAAUUUAGAAUAGAAUACCUUGAGACAUUAAUUGGUCUAUCAAAAUUCAAAGAACUUCGGCCUCGCGAAUGCAUUGUCGCUGGGCAAAGUGGGACGCAAAGUGUUUGCGUUUGUAAAACGCAUCAGAAUGUGGCUUUGAAAAUGUAUGAAAUCAGGCAUGAAUUAAAAAAGUGUAAAGUAAAUUUCAAGGAGAAUAUGGGCGAUUUGAUAAAACAGUGUGUCUGCGAAAAAUUCGAAUUCAGUCAAUAGGCAAUAAAUCCUGUCCAUGUUCAAACGUGCACGCUGCUUCAGUUUGCGCGGUCCUCAAGCCACCGCGCGACCGAUCAGCCGAUGGCAGCAAUGCCACCGUCGAGCGCAUCAAGUUACAAAACAGCCAAUACCUCGGAAAUGGAGUAAAAGUACAAAAUUCUAUUUUCAGAUUAUUGAAGGAGUUGACAAUUCAAAGGUUGGUGGAAAAACUUUCCGAAGCUGACUGUGUCGAUAAUAGAAAAGGGGCAAGCGGUGCAAAAACUGGACGCUUUGUUGAGAAUAUUGCUGCUGUUGCGCAAGGUGUUGCUGAACAACCUGCAACAUGGAUACCUCGACAUUCUCAACAACCAGAUAUUCACGAAUCGACUGUUUGGCGGAUUUUACCUGUAGUGAAGACUCAUGGAGGGCAUUUAAAUGAUGCUAUUUUUUCACAUAUAUUAAUUGCUAAGAGGCGUAUUUUGAAUAAAAAUUGUGAAACGUUAAACAAUCUAA